rnacentral:antisense_RNA from 1 species
GAUUCCAAAUAGCAGCAAUAUCUAAAUUGUAAAUUACUUGUCUUGUAGAACCUAUCGCCGGAUCAUAAAUACCAUGAAUACGAGCCCAUUCAACAAACAUAAUUGCUCCAAGACCUAAGAAGAUCAGAUGAUGACCAAGUAUAAAUGUUAAUUUAUCUGGAUCAUCCCA